GGACCUGACUGCUAUCGGAUUGAUACUAAGCCAUGUGAGUCAUUGUAGCAAUACAAGGCAGACGGCUCAGUAACACGUAGCCAAUCUACCCUAUGGACGGGGAUAACCUCGGGAAACUGAGGAUAAACCCCGAUAGAUCAUUAUGCCUGGAAUGGUUAAUGGUUCAAAUGAUUCGUCGCCGUAGGAUGGGACUGCGGCCUAUCAGCUUGUUGGUGAGGUAAUGGCCCACCAAGGCUAUUACAGGUACGGGCUCUGAGAGGAGAAGCCCGGAGAUGGGUACUGAGACACGGACCCAGGCCCUAUGGGGCGCAGCAGGCGAGAAACCUUUGCAAUGUGCGCAAGCACGACAAGGUUAAUCCGAGUGUUUCCUGCUAAAGGAAUCUUUUGUUAGUCCUAAAAACACUAGCGAAUAAGGGGUGGGCAAGUUCUGGUGUAAGGG
rnacentral:rRNA from 1 species